GACGAACGCUGGCGGCGUGCUUAACACAUGCAAGUCGAACGGAAAGGCCUUUUCGGAGGUACUCGAGUGGCGCACGGGGGAGUAACACGUGGGUGAUCUUCCCUGCACUCUGGGAUAAGCCUGGGAAACUGGGUCUAAUUCCGGCUUGGACCGCGCUUUAGUGUGUGUGGUGGAAAGUUUUUUCGGUGUAGGAUGAGACCGCGGCGGAGUUGCUUGUGGUUGGGGUAAAGGCCUACCAAGGCGGCGACCCGUAACCGGACUGAGAGGAUGGUCGGCAACACUGGAACUGAGACACGGUCCAGACUCCUACGGGAGGCAGCAGUGGGGAAUAUUGGACAAUGGGAGAAAGCCUGAUCCAGCCAUGCUGCGUGUGUGAAGAAGGUCUUCGGAUUGUAAAGCACUUUAAGUUGGGAGGAAGGGCAGUAAGUUAAUACCGUGCUGUUUUGACGUUACCAACAGAAUAAGCACCGGCUAACUUCGUG
rnacentral:rRNA from 1 species